GUGCUCACUUCGGCAGCACAUAUACUAAAAUUGGAAUGAUACAGAGAAGAUUAGCAUGGCCCCUGCGCAAGGAUGACACCAUUGCAUACACUAGCAAGAUUUUG